CCCAGACUCCUACGGGAGGCAGCAGUGGGGAAUAUUGCGCAAUGGGCGAAAGCCUGACGCAGCGACGCCGCGUGAGGGAUGGAGGUCUUCGGAUCGUAAACCUCUGUCAGCAGGGAAGAACGGUCACUGUGCUAAUCAGCAGUGAAUUGACGGUACCUGCAAAGGAAGCACCGGCUAACUCCGUGCCAGCAGCCGCGGUAAUACGGAGGGUGCGAGCGUUAUCCGGAUUUACUGGGUGUAAAGGGAGCGUAGACGGCAUGGCAAGUCAGAUGUGAAAGCCCGGGGCUCAACCCCGGGACUGCUUUUGAAACUGUCAAACUAGAGUACGGGAGAGGUAAGAGGAAUUCCUAGUGUAGCGGUGAAAUGCGUAGAUAUUAGGAGGAACACCAGUGGCGAAGGCGACUUACUGGACGGUAACUGACGUUGAGGCACGAAAGUGUGGGGAGCAAACAGGAUUAGAUACCCGAGUACCG
rnacentral:rRNA from 1 species